CGGCCGAGUAAAGUGGCGCGACGGGUGAGUAACGCGGUGGGUAAUCUCGCCCUUGGGCGGGGAUAACCUCUCGAAAGGGGGGCUAAUACCGCAUGAGACCACGGCUUUUCGGGGCUGUGGGAAAAGGUGGGUCGCAAGGCCUGCCACCUGGGGAUGAGCCCGCGUACCAUUAGGUUGUUGGUGGGGUAAUGGCCUACCAAGCCGAAGAUGGUUAGCUGGUCUGAGAGGACGAUCAGCCACACUGGGACUGAGACACGGCCCAGACUCCUACGGGAGGCAGCAGUAGGGAAUAUUGGACAAUGGGCGCAAGCCUGAUCCAGCAAUGCCGCGUGUGUGAAGAAGGCCUGCGGGUUGUAAAGCACUUUCAGUGGGGAAGAACAGAUUCGGGUCAAUACCCCGGAGCCCUGACGUUACCCACAGAAGAAGCACCGGCUAACUCCGUG
rnacentral:rRNA from 1 species